AUCUGUAAUGAGAUCUGAUGCCCUCUUCUGGUGUGUCUGAAGACAGCUACAGUGUAUCCAUAUAUAAUAAAUAAAUAAAUCUUUAAAAAAAAAACAAUUUAACUCACCAGUGAAAUGGUUGACAGUGAGAUCAAAGUCUCCUGUGGGAGCAAGUGCAGCCAGCGAGUCAAGGUCCACAUCCGGUAGCUCAGAGGUAGAGUGCUUUCCUGACAUACACAGUACCUUGGUGGAGAGACACACCAUACUACCUUAGUUCUGUGAAAUUGUUGCUAUUUUGUUUUGAAAUAGGAGAAAACGGCUUCUAAGUUGUUGAGAUAGUAAUAAAUGACAGAACUGGGGCCAUGUUCGUUUCUGCUGACUUUGUAUUUGUUUCCAGUGGCUAGCGUUCUCUUUUAGUUUUUUUUGAAACAGGAUCUCUGUACAUAGCUCUGGCUGUCCUGAAACUCACUAUGGAGACCAGGCCUGGUCUCAAACUGACAGAGAUUCUUCUGCCUCUGCCUCCCAUCAUUCUUAGCAAGCAUCCUUGUGUUCCUAGGCCAGCAUCCUGGAUUCAUCAGAACAUUGGCAGACUCAGCUUUUGAGAACCAGGAAGUAUUACCCGUGCUAUCUUUAGGUGGUAGUUUGGCUCAUUGCUAGGGGGUUGUUGGCUUUGUUUUCUUUUCUGUAUGUGUGUAGUGUAUACACAUGUCUAUGCAGGUAUGUCUGCAUAUGUGUACAGAGGCCAGAGUUGUCUUGGAUCCUGCUCUAUCUGCCUUAUUCCUUUGAGACCUAUUUGGUCUUUCACUGAGCCUGAUCCUAGCUAGGCUGGCAGUCAGCAAGCCCCAGCAGUCAUUCCUGACUUCAGCUCCUACACGUGCUACUGAUGUACACUGCCAUGUUCAGCUUUAUGUGGGUGCUGGGAUCCAAACUCAGGUCCUUACAUUUGCACAGUAAGGAUUCUUACCUACUGAGCCAUUUCUAGCUGUCUUUCUUUUUUUUGAGACAGGUCUUGGCUGUGUAAUCCUGUAGGCUUAGACUCAAAGUUCUUCCACCUUAUACCCUAAGUACUAGGAAUUCAAGCAUGAAUCACCAGGCACGGCCAAUUUUUAUUUGUUAAUCUCUUGUUACUACCGACUCCUUAUUUUUCCUUUUAAACUCUCCCAUGCUAAAACAAGCUGACACCAAAACUGUUGGUUGAAUUAAGCUGGGCAGUGGUGGCACACGCCUUUAAUCCCAGCACUUGGGAGGCAGAGACAGGUGGAUUUCUGAGUUCGAGGCCAGCCUGGUCUACAGAGUAAGUUCCAGGACAGCUAGGGCUAUACAGAGAAACCCUGUCUCGAAAAACAAAACAAAAAAAACCUGUUGGUUGAAGGGGUAAAGUUUAGACAGUCUAAGAAGGCCACACCUCCUAAUUGUGCUACUUCCAGUGGGCCAAACAUAUUCAAACCACUGUAGCCACCAUUGUCCCACCUUGGGUUAUAGCUAAUCUUACUAAAAUAUUGGUGUAAAAGACAAGGAAACUGCUGAUGUCUACAAUAGUCUGAUAAUAAAAGGAUUUAUUCACAGAAAUGUGUACCUUUUUUUCCUAGCAGCAUCUUGUCUAACAUAUCAACACAGUGCUUUUUGUGUGUCAUAGCAGAGUCGUGGUUUAACAGAAUGGACAAUACUAGACUGCAAAAAUAAAGCAGUGAGGAACAGCCUGCCCUCCCACCUGAGGCCAUGGCGAGGUUUUGGCUGCCCACCCCAGGAAUGGGAAAGCUGGCAAGGUGACCAGCUCAGCAACCAUCCAGGCCCAGAUCUGGAUCUACCUCAUCCUAUGAACUGCUGGAGCUUGUGAAGGGGCUGGUCCUACAAAUCCAAAGCUGCAGGAUCUUCAUGACACAGGGUAACAACAGGAUAUCCCAGAGGAGUCCCAGUGAGGAUCCAGUAUUGAUGUUGUAGCAGAAGCCAGAGGCCUCAAACCAGACCAAUAGCUCAUUGCAGUGAACACUUGCAAGUAAAGCUAUUUGGACAAACCGUGGGACACACUGCAGCUUCUACAUGCUACCCACAGGCUGAGAACCGCUGAGCUGGAGGAAGACACAAAUUACCAAUAUCAGGACUGGAGGAGGAUUAAGCAACACAAAAGCUGAGACCCCCUCAGAUGGAAGGAAGCUGAACUGCAAAGAAGACUCUGAGACCAGACCACUUGCCUGGAAGUUCAGACCAACUGAGUCACCUGGAAAUGUCACUCCCACCGGGUGAGCUGCCUGCAGGCUGUGCAGUGCUUCUGGCCCCAGCUGUGUGAGCUGUAACCCAUGCUGGGGCGGGCUUUGGUGAUGCAGAUGUCUCUGAGUCUUUCCUGCUCUUUUAAGCACCUCACCCCUACUCCUGUAACUCCAAUAAACACUCAUUGGUUCACCUA